rnacentral:rRNA from 1 species
UACGUAGGGGGCAAGCGUUGUCCGGAAUCAUUGGGCGUAAAGAGCGCGUAGGCGGUCCGGUAAGUCCGCUCUGAAAGUCCGGGGCUCAACCCCGGGAGGCGGGCGGAUACUGUCGGGCUAGAGUCCGGAAGAGGCGAGUGGAAUUCCUGGUGUAGCGGUGAAAUGCGCAGAUAUCUGGAGGAACACCGGUGGCGAAGGCGGCAUCCUGGACCGGUAUGGACGCUGAGGCGCGAAAGCUAGGGGAGCAAACGGG